rnacentral:rRNA from 1 species
GACGAACGCUGGCGGCGUGCUUAACACAUGCAAGUCGAACGGUAAGGCCCCUUCGGGGGUACACGAGUGGCGAACGGGUGAGUAACACGUGGGUAAUCUGCCCUGCACUUCGGGAUAAGCCUGGGAAACUGGGUCUAAUACCGGAUAUGACUCCUGGCCGCAUGGUCUGGGAGUGGAAAGUUUUUCGGUGCAGGAUGAGUCCGCGGCCUAUCAGCUUGUUGGUGGGGUAAUGGCCUACCAAGGCGACGACGGGUAGCCGGCCUGAGAGGGUGAUCGGCCACACUGGGACUGAGACACGGCCCAG